UCUUGCAAACUAAAGAUGGCGACCGGCGCACGGGUGAGUAACACGUAUCCAACCUGCCGAUAACUCGGGGAUAGCCUUUCGAAAGAAAGAUUAAUAUCCGAUAGUAUAUUAAAACCGCAUGGUUUUACUAUUAAAGAAUUUCGGUUAUCGAUGGGGAUGCGUUCCAUUAGUUUGUUGGCGGGGUAACGGCCCACCAAGACUACGAUGGAUAGGGGUUCUGAGAGGAACGCCCCCCACAUUGGAACUGAGACACGGUCCAA
rnacentral:rRNA from 1 species